GAUGAACGCUAGCUACGGGCUUAACACAUGCAAGUCGAGGGGCAGCAUUAAAGUUUGCUUGCAAACUUUAGAUGGCGACCGGCGCACGGGUGAGUAACACGUAUCCAACCUGCCGAUAACUCGGGGGUAGCCUUUCGAAAGAAAGAUUAAUACCCGAUGGUAUAUUUUCACCGCAUGGUGAAACUAUUAAAGAAUUUCGGUUAUCGAUGGGGAUGCGUUCCAUUAGGCAGUUGGUGAGGUAACGGCUCACCAAACCUUCGAUGGAUAGGGGUUCUGAGAGGAAGGUCCCCCACAUUGGAACUGAGACACGGUCCAAACUCCUACGGGAGGCAGCAGUGAGGAAUAUUGGUCAAUGGGCGCGAGCCUGAACCAGCCAAGUAGCGUGAAGGAUGACGGCCCUAUGGGUUGUAAACUUCUUUUAUAUGGGAAUAAAGUUUGGUAUGUAUACCAUUUUGUAUGUACCAUAUGAAUAAGGAUCGGCUAACUCCGUGCCAGCCGCCGCGGUAAAAC
rnacentral:rRNA from 1 species